ACAGCAGCAGCCACGGUAAUACGUAGGGUGCAAGCGUUAAUCGGAAUUACUGGGCGUAAAGCGUGCGCAGGCGGUUAUAUAAGACAGAUGUGAAAUCCCCGGGCUCAACCUGGGAACUGCAUUUGUGACUGUAUAGCUAGAGUACGGCAGAGGGGGAUGGAAUUCCGCGUGUAGCAGUGAAAUGCGUAGAUAUGCGGAGGAACACCGAUGGCGAAGGCAAUCCCCUGGGCCUGUACUGACGCUCAUGCACGAAAGCGUGGGGAGCAAACAGGAUUAGAUACCCCAGUAGUCCCUGUCUCUUAUAC
rnacentral:rRNA from 1 species